GGAGGACUUGUCACGCAUCGAAGCCUGACGCCUCGAGUACGGAAGCACCUAUCUGAGGCGGGGUCUGCCCCAUGCCAAGUUGCAACAGGAGCCCCACCCGAGCUCGGCAGAAAAGUCGAGGACUUGGAGCGGCAGACACAGAUGCUUCAAGACCGAGGCCCAAAGCGAGACGCCGAUCUUGACUUUACAACAGAGUCUCCAUUCCCUCAAUAGAUCAUGGAUGAAUCAAUCUCCUAAAGGUUCAAGAUGCCAUAGAUUGAGCCAUAUGAUGGCUCAUCCGAUCCUCUGGAUCAUUUGCAGAGCUACAAGGCCCUUAUGACACUCCAAGGAGCCACAAACGCUUUACUCUGCAAGGCCUUCCCAACGACUCUCUGCAAGGCAGCUCG
rnacentral:lncRNA from 1 species